rnacentral:tRNA from 1 species
UCCUCGUAGCUCAACUGGAUAGAGCCCAGGUUUCCUAAACCUGUAAUAGAGGUUCAAGUCCCCUCGAGGA